UGCAAAUUAUCCUCAUUAUCUUAUAGAACACGCAUAAUAAAACUAACAAUCUGUCAUGUCUGCAAACAUAUGAUCAUUAUUGCUUCAAAAACACGCUGCUAAAACAACAUAAUUACAUAAUGCAUUGAAUAGUUUAAUCACAAACACUAUGUUACACAGCAAAUAUAUACAUGUAUAACGGUUUUAUCUCAAUGGUCCUCUACACAUCCUGCCUGCACAUGGGGCAUGAUCCAUGUCUUAGGAGCCACCUGUCCACACAGGCCAAAUGGAAUGUAUGGGAAAUCAAGGCAAAACAGACCAUCUGCUGUACAAUAUGCUUGCAGGAUAUUGUACAGCAGAUGGUCUGUUUUGCCUUGAUUUCAUCCAAGGUAUGACAUGGCAAUUUCUUCAGUGAAUCUCCUGACAAUCCUCUGGAUUCAACUUCACCACCAUCACCAUGAAUCUCAUCAUCACUUAUAUUACCAAUGCCUAGCUGCUGCCAAUAAUAAGCAUUUAGCAUUACUGGUGAAAAUUGUUCAUCUACAAACC
rnacentral:misc_RNA from 1 species